rnacentral:rRNA from 1 species
CAGUAGCCACGGUAAUACGAAGGGUGCAAGCGUUAAUCGGAAUUACUGGGCGUAAAGCGUGCGUAGGCGGUGAGUUAAGUCUGUUGUGAAAUCCCCGGGCUCAACCUGGGAAUGGCAAUGGAUACUGGCAAGCUAGAGUGUGUCAGAGGAUGGUGGAAUUCCCGGUGUAGCGGUGAAAUGCGUAGAGAUCGGGAGGAACAUCAGUGGCGAAGGCGGCCAUCUGGGACAACACUGACGCUGAGGCACGAAAGCGUGGGGAGCAAACAGGAUUAGAUACCCCGGUAGUCCCUGUCUCUUAUAC